rnacentral:rRNA from 1 species
CGUGCAGGCGGUUUGGUAAGUUGGAUGUGAAAGCUCCCGGCUCAACUGGGAGAGGUCGUUCAAUACUACCAGACUUGAGAGUGGUAGAGGGAGGUGGAAUUCCCGGUGUAGUGGUGAAAUGCGUAGAUAUCGGGAGGAACACCAGUGGCGAAAGCGGCCUCCUGGACCAUUUCUGACGCUCAGACGCGAAAGCUAGGGGAGCAAACGGGAUUAGAGACCCCGGUAGUCCUAGCUGUAAACGAUGUGAACUUGGCGUCGGUGGUGUAAAAACCAUCGGUGCCGCAGCCAACGCGAUAAGUUCACCGCCUGGGGACUACGGCCGCAAAGGUUAAA